rnacentral:rRNA from 1 species
AGUGAACGCUGGCGGUAGGCCUAACACAUGCAAGUCGAACGGCAGCACAGUAGGAGCUUGCUCUUACGGGUGGCGAGUGGCGGACGGGUGAGGAAUACAUCGGAAUCUACUUUUUCGUGGGGGAUAACGUAGGGAAACUUACGCUAAUACCGCAUACGACCUACGGGUGAAAGCAGGGGAUCUUCGGACCUUGCGCGAUUGAAUGAGCCGAUGUCGGAUUAGCUAGUUGGCGGGGUAAAGGCCCACCAAGGCGACGAUCCGUAGCUGGUCUGAGAGGAUGAUCAGCCACACUGGAACUGAGACACGGUCCAGACUCCUACGGGAGGCAGCAGUGGGGAAUAUUGGACAAUGGGCGCAAGCCUGAUCCAGCCAUACCGCGUGGGUGAAGAAGGCCUUCGGGUUGUAAAGCCCUUUUGUUGGGAAAGAAAAGCAGCAGGUUAAUACCCCGCUGUUCUGACGGUACCCAAAGAAUAAGCACCGGCCAACUUCGU